rnacentral:rRNA from 1 species
CAGCCGCCGCGGUAAUACGUAGGGAGCAAGCGUUGUCCGGAAUUAUUGGGCGUAAAGCGCGCGCAGGCGGUUUUUUAAGUCUGGUGUCUAAGUGCGGGGCUCAACCCCGUGACGCACUGGAAACUGGGAGACUUGAGUGCAGAAGAGGAGAGCGGAAUCCCACGUGUAGCGGUGAAAUGCGUAGAGAUGUGGAGGAACACCAGUGGCGAAGGCGACUCUCUGGUCUGUAACUGACGCUGAGGAGCGAAAGCGUGGGGAGCGAACAGGAUUAGAUACCCGCGUAGUCCCUGUCUCUUAUACA